rnacentral:rRNA from 1 species
AGCAGCCGCGGUAAUUCCAGCUCCAAUAGCGUAUAUUAAAGUUGUUGCAGUUAAAAAGCUCGUAGUUGAAUUUCGGGGUCAGUGGAUUGGUCGUGCCACUGGUAUGUACUGGUCUUACUGGCUCCUCCUUCCUGAUGAACCGUAAUGCCAUUAAUUUGGUGUUGCGGGGAAACAGGACUGUUACUUUGAAAAAAUUAGAGUGUUUAAAGCAGGCUAACGCUUGAAUACAUUAGCAUGGAAUAAUGAAAUAGGACGUUCGAUCUUAUUUUGUUGGUUUCUAGGAUUGACGUAAUGAUUAAUAGGGAUAGUUGGGGGCAUUAGUAUUCAAUUGUCAGAGGUGAAAUUCUUGGAUUUAU